AUUGAACGCUGGCGGCAUGCCUUACACAUGCAAGUCGAACGGCAGCACGGGUGCUUGCCCCUGGUGGCGAGUGGCGGACGGGUGAGUAAUACAUCGGAACAUGUCCUGUAGUGGGGGAUAGCCCGGCGAAAGCCGGAUUAAUACCGCAUACGAUCUACGGAUGAAAGCGGGGGACCUUCGGGCCUCGCGCUAUAGGGUUGGCCGAUGGCUGAUUAGCUAGUUGGUGGGGUAAAGGCCUACCAAGGCGACGAUCAGUAGCUGGUCUGAGAGGACGACCAGCCACACUGGGACUGAGACACGGCCCAGACUCCUACGGGAGGCAGCAGUGGGGAAUUUUGGACAAUGGGCGAAAGCCUGAUCCAGCAAUGCCGCGUGUGUGAAGAAGGCCUUCGGGUUGUAAAGCACUUUUGUCCGGAAAGAAAUCCUUGGCCCUAAUACGGUCGGGGGAUGACGGUACCGGAAGAAUAAGCACCGGCUAACUACGUG
rnacentral:rRNA from 1 species